UAGGGAAUCUUCCACAAUGGACGCAAGUCUGAUGGAGCAACGCCGCGUGAGUGAAGAAGGUUUUCGGAUCGUAAAGCUCUGUUGUUGGUGAAGAAGGAUAGAGGCAGUAACUGGCCUUUAUUUGACGGUAAUCAACCAGAAAGUCACGGCUAACUACGUGCCAGCAGCCGCGGUAAUACGUAGGUGGCAAGCGUUGUCCGGAUUUAUUGGGCGUAAAGCGAGCGCAGGCGGAAGAAUAAGUCUGAUGUGAAAGCCCUCGGCUUAACCGAGGAAUUGCAUCGGAAACUGUUUUCUUGAGUGCAGAAGAGGAGAGUAGAACUCCAUGUGUAGCGGUGGAAUGCGUAGAUAUAUGGAAGAAUACCAGUGGCGAAGGCGGCUCUCUGGUCUGCAACUGACGCUGAGGCUCGAAAGCAUGGGUAGCGAACAGGAUUAGAUACCCUGGUAGUCCAUGCCGUAAACGAUGAGUGCUAAGUGUUGGGAGGCUUCCGCCUCUCAGUGCUGCAGCUAACGCAUUAAGCACUCCGCCUGGGGGAGUACGACCGCAAGGUUGAAAC
rnacentral:rRNA from 1 species